UUUUAUGGAGAGUUUGAUCCUGGCUCAGGAUGAACGCUGGCGGCGUGCCUAAUACAUGCAAGUCGAGCGAACAGAUGAGGAGCUUGCUCCUCUGACGUUAGCGGCGGACGGGUGAGUAACACGUGGAUAACCUACCUAUAAGACUGGGAUAACUUCGGGAAACCGGAGCUAAUACCGGAUAAUAUAUUGAACCGCAUGGUUCAAUAGUGAAAGACGGUUUUGCUGUCACUUAUAGAUGGAUCCGCGCCGCAUUAGCUAGUUGGUAAGGUAACGGCUUACCAAGGCAACGAUGCGUAGCCGACCUGAGAGGGUGAUCGGCCACACUGGAACUGAGACACGGUCCAGACUCCUACGGGAGCAGCAGUA
rnacentral:rRNA from 1 species